rnacentral:rRNA from 1 species
GAUGAACGCUGGCGGCGUGCUUAACACAUGCAAGUCGAACGAUGAAGCUGGAGCUUGCUCUGGUGGAUUAGUGGCGAACGGGUGAGUAACACGUGAGCAACCUGCCCCUGACUCUGGGAUAACAGCCGGAAACGGCUGCUAAUACCGGAUAUGCACCAUGAACGCAUGUUCUGUGGUGGGAAAGAUUUUUCGGUUGGGGAUGGGCUCGCGGCCUAUCAGCUUGUUGGUGAGGUAAUGGCUCACCAAGGCGUCGACGGGUAGCCGGCCUGAGAGGGUGACCGGCCACACUGGGGACUGAGACACGGGCCCAGACUCCUACGGGAGGCAGCAGUGGGGAAUAUUGCACAAUGGGCGAAAGCCUGAUGCAGCAACGCCGCGUGAGGGAUGACGGCCUUCGGGUUGUAAACCUCUUUUAGCAGGGAAGAAGCGAGAGUGACGGUACCUGCAGAAAAAG